AAGAAGGAAACAAAAAAAGAAACGAGGCCGCACGAGAACGAGAAAAACUUGCGGUGGGAAAAAAGGUAAUCCCAUCCCUUUCUCUCCCAACCACCCGACGACGGCCGACUCGCACAGAUCGGCUGGGCGAGCGGCGGCCUGACGCCCAGGCGACGGCCGACUCGCACAGAUCGGCUGGGCGAGCGGCGGCCUGACGCCUAGGCGACGACGGACUCGCACAGAUCGGCCCCCCUGCAGCAGCGGCCCGACGCAACGAGAUCCCCUGCGGCGGCCCGACGCGGCGAGAUCCCCUGCAGCGGCCUCCUCCUCGUUGGAUGCGCCAUUGCUGGCUCGUGCGAUGCGGGGAGGUGAUGUACUCAUCGUCAGCAGCGUCAACGCCGGCUCCUCCGAGGCAGCGAGGCGGCGCUGUGGUCGACCCUAGCGCGGCGUACUCUCUCUUGGUGUGGCGGCCUGGAUGAUCUCAUCCCCUCCCAGCUGAUCUCCUGAACGUGCAGUGGGGCGAGGUGGAUGUUCUCAGCCCCGCCCGGCUGGACCAGAUCGACGAGGGAGAGGACUAUAGACGGCUAGACACUCCAGCCUACUACUAUCUGCAAUUCGACAAGAAACAUGAAGUGCAGUUUAACCAAAUCAUAAGAGAGAAGGUUGCAGAUUAGGCUUGUGUCACUGGAAGAGACGAAACUGGAAUGUGCAAGUUCCAAAUAGAUAUUGCUUAUGUAGUUUUUGUUGAUUGUAGACUGUACUUCAAGUUAUUUGAAUUGGUGCUGUUGUAAGAUCUGACCUUGUGUCAAUGAAAUCAAUAUACAAGGUUUCAGUUGUGGAAA